GAGUAGUAAACGCUGAACGGGAAGCGAGGUUAGUUAAAUCCAACUGCAGGAGAGGAAAAAAGAGUCCUUUUCUUCCGGAGAGGAGAGGGUACACAGAGGAUGCCUGUCCACUGACCAAACCUGCCCUGAGCAUCACCAUUGACGCUUUCGUUCAUUCAAAAAACAAAGUUAAUUCAGCAGGUGCUCUAUGCCAGGCACUGACUUGGUAUGGGGGAUAAUGAAGGAAAUAAAACCGAGAUCCCUGUCUUUGGAGAACAUACUUCCUAAUAGGGAGAUUAACAGUAAACACAAUAAAAGGAUGUGAUCUUUCUUUUUUUCACUCCACCUUUCCCCCAUCAAAUGAGGAAGGAAAGCUCAAGCAGUUUACUAUUUUGGGAAAAUUGUGCCAUCGUGCUUAGUACAUAGUGUGUAUCAGACUUAAGAAAAGGACAAGAAUGAAACUAUUAAAAAAAUUUCUCCAACUGGCAAUUAAAAGACAAUGGGAAA
rnacentral:lncRNA from 1 species